UAGGGAAUCUUCGGCAAUGGGGGCAACCCUGACCGAGCAACGCCGCGUGUGUGAAGAAGGUUUUCGGAUCGUAAAGCUCUGUUGUAAGAGAAGAACGUGUGUGAGAGUGGAAAGUUCACACAGUGACGGUAACUUACCAGAAAGGGACGGCUAACUACGUGCCAGCAGCCGCGGUAAUACGUAGGUUCCGAGCGUUGUCCGGAUUUACUGGGCGUAAAGCGAGCGCAGGCGGUUUAAUAAGUCUGAAGUUAAAGGCAGUGGCUUAACCAUUGUUCGCUUUGGAAACUGUUAAACUUGAGUGCAGAAGGGGAGGGUGGAAUUCCAUGUGUAGCGGUGAAAUGCGUAGAUAUAUGGAGGAACACCGGUGGCGAAGGCGGCUCACUGGUCUGUAACUGACGCUGAGGCUCGAAAGCGUGGGGAGCAAACAGG
rnacentral:rRNA from 1 species